GGGGGUGAGGAGGGGGUCGCCAUCGAUCGCGCACAGCUGUGAGCACAUCCCGACAAGGCUUAUUAUUCAAUUUAUUACCGGCUUAAAAUACAUUCCUAUAACUAGCUGAAGAGGGGGACAGUCGUGUGUGGAGGACGAGAGAGAGAGAGAGAGAGAGACGGAGACACCGGUGGCUGGCGGCGGAUGGUGGGAGACACUAACAGCGGAUCAGCUGAUCAGAGGACUGGUGCAGGGGGGGAAAGAGGGGGGGGCGUGCAUACCUAGCGCUGAUAGUAGCGAGGCUUAUUGUGUACACUGAGCUAUAAUUUUUAACGCUAUGCCUAGUAGAGGAAAGUUUUAAAAAAUUUAUUCAUGUAUGACGCUUCCGUUCUCAUUCAGUGCAGUAGUCCGUCACUGUCCUGGAGGAGGAACCGCUCCGAGGAGUCCGGGCCAGUAUGAGACACCAGGACGGUUACAUAUUAUCCUCCUAUUAAAAUACGAUAAACAGUCGGCGUUAGACCAAGAGCUAGUCUUCGCGAUUGUUAGCACUAAUUAAUUAUCUACUGGAAUAAUUACAUACAUAUUUCAUAUUUUUGGUUACUCUGUUUCUUAAGAGUUUUUUUAUACGAAUGCUCUAACGGUUCACCGUUCACCGCAGCCUCGGAGUUCAACUAUAUAUAUAUAUAUAUAUAUAUAUAUUAAUUAUUAUAUUAAUUAUAUGUUAAUGAUGAUAUGUUCUUUUGAAAAUAAAGAUUACGUAUUUUUUAAGAGUAAUCACAAAUUCUUCACAAUCUUAAUUGUCGUAUUUAAUUCUAAUACGUGUGUUGCAUACUCAUGAGGUAGCGCGUCAGUAGCUCGGAUGUGUCAGUUCUUGUCCUCGUUCAAUACAAUCACAAUAUAUUUAAAUCCACUGUGUUUUCUGUUCCUAAUAAUAUUUCAGACAGUGGUCUCGCAGAUCGUCUAAAAUAUGUACGAUUUUAAUAUUUCUCAAAAAAUAAAAAAUAUGACAAUGGUUAUAUCGAUGUCACAUGUUUUUACUUGUCCGACGAAAUAUUAAAUUAUAUUCCAUAUAUGUAAUAUAAUAAUACUAUUAUCGUAUAUGUAUGAAAUGAAUGUUUUCUAAAAGUAAUUGCAGGACCAACAACAUGUUAUGUAUUAUUAUGUAUAAAUCGGCGCCAUCAGCAGCAAGGACGCAUGCAGCGUAACAAUGACUUGAGGCUGUCAUCAACUAUUAUAAAACUUAUUGGUGGGCAUGAUUAUUGUUAUAAGUAAAAGGAGAACAGAACAAUGUUUGAAUUUUGGUAAAAUACGACGCUUGGGCGCACGACAUUUGAGUUCGGUGAGGGCGGACCAUUGAAGAAUAGGAACAUGAAGAACCUUCGAGAAAUACAUGAACGAUAUUCAGAAGAA